rnacentral:piRNA from 1 species
UUCUAACGAUGUAUAACAGGCAACUCUCCCU